AUGCAUAGUGUGGCCCACCCCCUGCCACUAUGCCAGAAAAGUCUCAACUUUUCUAACGAGAAGUUCCGUUGUGAGGAGCCCCUGUCCAAAUGUUCAGAUGACUGUGGCUGUGAGUGGAUCUGGGAGGCUCUGGGUGUGUCUGAAUGGCAGCCUGUGUUGACUGGCAGCUGGUUAAAUAGUCACACUGGUGGCAGGGAAGUGUUUGGCAACAGGAGGUGUUCCUACAUACAGGGCUUUGUUGCUCACAGCUGGAACUCCAAAAGUAAAUAGCAAGCACAUGCUGGUGGCAGGAAGCUCUUUACUCAAGUGCCUACGGAAAGGAAAGAGGACAUAAGGAAUAAAGGACUGAGAUAUAAUCA
rnacentral:lncRNA from 1 species